rnacentral:rRNA from 1 species
AGAGUUUGAUUCUGGCUCAGGAUGAACGCUGGCGGCGUGCUUAACACAUGCAAGUCGAACGAAGCACUUGAUUUGAUUUUCUUCGGAAUUGAAGAUCUUGUGACUGAGUGGCGGACGGGUGAGUAACGCGUGGGCAACCUGCCUUGUACAGGGGGGUAACAGUUAGAAAUGACUGCUAAUACCGCAUAAGACCACAGCACCACAUGGUGCAGGGGUAAAAGCUGAGGUGGUACAAGAUGGGCCCGCGUCUGAUUAGCUAGUUGGUGAGGUAACGGCUCACCAAGGCGACGAUCAGUAGCCGACCUGAGAGGGUGACCGGCCACAUUGGGACUGAGACACGGCCCAAACUCCUACGGGAGGCAGCAGUGGGGAAUAUUGCACAAUGGGGGAAACCCUGAUGCAGCGACGCCGCGUGAGUGAUGAAGUAUUUCGGUAUGUAAAGCUCUAUCAGCAGGGAAGAAAAUGACGGUACCUGACUAAGAAGCCCCGGCUAACUACGUGCCAGCAGCCGCGGUAAUACGUAGGGGGCAAGCGUUAUCCGGAUUUACUGGGUGUAAAGGGAGCGUAGACGGAACAGCAAGUCUGAUGUGAAAACCCGGGGCUCAACCCCGGGACUGCAUUGGAAACUGUUGAUCUAGAGUGUCGGAGAGGUAAGUGGAGUUCCUAGUGUAGCGGUGAAAUGGCGUGGAAAUUAGGAGGAACCCCCGUGGCGCCGGCGGCUUGCUGGNCGGUGUCUGUCGUUGUGGCUCGAAAGCGUGGGGNGCUCUCAAAAUAGAUCCCCUGGUGUCCACGCCGUCCNCCCCCCAAAGGGGGUCGGGUGGCAAAGCCAUUCGGUGCCGCAGCAAACGCAAUAAGUAGUCCACCUGGGGAGUACGUUCGCAAGAAUGAAACUCAAAGGAAUUGACGGGGACCCGCACAAGCGGUGGAGCAUGUGGUUUAAUUCGAAGCAACGCGAAGAACCUUACCUGCCCUCGACAUCCGAAUGACCGGUGAGUAAUGUCGCCUUUCCUUCGGGACAUUCGAGACAGGUGGUGCAUGGUUGUUGUCAGCUCGUGUCGUGAGAUGUUGGGUUAAGUCCCGCAACGAGCGCAACCCUCAUCUUUAGUAGCCAGCAACUAGGAUGGGCACUCUAGAGAGACUGCCAGGGAUAACCUGGAGGAAGGUGGGGAGGACGUCAAAUCAUCAUGCCCCUUAUGGGCAGGGCUACACACGUGCUACAAUGGCGUAAACAAAGGGAAGCAGAGUCGUGAGGCCGAGCAAAUCUCAAAAAUAACGUCUCAGUUCGGAUUGUAGUCUGCAACUCGACUACAUGAAGCUGGAAUCGCUAGUAAUCGCGAAUCAGAAUGUCGCGGUGAAUACAUUCCCGGGUCUUGCACA